rnacentral:rRNA from 1 species
UCAAGAAACUUCCACAAUGGGCGAAAGCCUGAUGGAGCGACGUCGCGUGAUGGACGAAGUGCUUCGGCACGUAAACAUCUUUUAUGUGGGAUGAAAUUAUUGACAGUACCACAUGAAUAAGGGGCUCCUAACUCUGUGCCAGCAGGAGCGGUAAUACAGAGGCCCCAAGCGUUAUCCGGAAUCACUGGGCGUAAAGGGUGUCGAGGCGGUUGUAUUAGUCGUUCGUAAAAUCUACGAGCUUAACUUGUAGGCGGCGAACGAAACGGUACGACUUGAGGUUUGGAGAGGUGCGUGGAACUCACGGUGUAGGGGUGAAAUCCGUUGAUAUCGUGGGGAACACCAAUAGCGAAGGCAGCUUACCAAGCUGUAACUGACACUGAGGCACGAAAGUGUGGGGAUCAAACAGGAUUAGAUACCCCUGUAGUCCCUGAGCGGGCUGGCAAGGCGCAU